rnacentral:rRNA from 1 species
CGGGGAGGUAGUGACGAAAAAUAACGAUACGGGACUCAUCCGAGGCCCCGUAAUCGGAAUGAGUACACUUUAAAUCCUUUAACGAGGACCAAUUGGAGGGCAAGUCUGGUGCCAGCAGCCGCGGUAAUUCCAGCUCCAAUAGCGUAUAUUAAAGUUGUUGCGGUUAAAAAGCUCGUAGUUGAAUCUGUGUGUCACAGUGUCGGUUCACCGCUCGCGGUGUUUAACUGGCAUUAUGUGGUACGUCCUACCGGUGGGCUUAGCUCCUUGCGGGCGGUCCAACUAAUAUCCCAUCGCGGUGCUCUUCACUGAGUGUCGAGGUGGGCCGGUACGUUUACUUUGAACAAAUUAGAGUGCUCAAAGCAGGCUACCUUUGCCUGAAUAUUCUGUGCAUGGAAUAAUGGAAUAGGACCUCGGUUCUAUUUUGUUGGUUUUCGGAACCCCGAGGUAAUGAUUAAUAGGGACAGAUGGGGGCAUUCGUAUUGCGACGUUAGAGGUGAAAUUCUUGGAUCGUCGCAAGACGGACAGAAGCGAAAGCAUUUGCCAAAAAUGUUUUCAUUAAUCAAGAACGAAAGUUAGAGGUUCGAAGGCGAUCAGAUACCGCCCUAGUUCUAACCAUAAACGAUGCCAGCUAGCGAUCCGCCGAAGUUCCUCCGAUGACUCGGCGGGCAGCUUCCGGGAAACCAAAGCUUUUGGGUUCCGGGGGAAGUAUGGUUGCAAAGCUGAAACUUAAAGGAAUUGACGGAAGGGCACCACCAGGAGUGGAGCCUGCGGCUUAAUUUGACUC